rnacentral:rRNA from 1 species
UACGAAGGGGGCUAGCGUUGUUCGGAAUUACUGGGCGUAAAGCGUGCGCAGGCGGCUUCUCAAGUCAGGGGUGAAAGCCCAGAGCUCAACUCUGGAAUUGCCUUUGAGACUGAGUGGCUUGAGUACGAGAGAGGUGAGUGGAAUUCCCAGUGUAGAGGUGAAAUUCGUAGAUAUUGGGAAGAACACCGGUGGCGAAGGCGGCUACACUGGCUCG